AGAUGGCACCGCAGGCAGGUUGGAUCAAUCCUUAUUUGGAUGGCUUGCAUUUCUUCAUAAGGAAGCUCCUCUUGUUUGUUUUUGCCCUCUCUCUGGCAUUUUUAAUUUUCUUGCUUUCCCCCUCAUCAUGGGACUGGGAUGAUCUGACUAGUGGCUAUGAUUUCUCCUUGCUGGUGUACGAGAUGACAAAGAGUGAGGUCUUUUCCGAUUCCCCGGGAAACUCAAGCUCUCUCCGAGUGAAGAUUUAAAGAGGGAGAGACACCGCCUAAAUGUAGCUUGAUGAUGGCCUGCGAAACAAAUGUGAGGAUGUAUACCUUGUGCCGGGUGCAGGAUUCUAUCAGGGCGAACCGGAGUGUAGAAGACCCUAAGAUGGUGGAGCAGCUCUUAAACCAGGGCAGGGAUAACCUAGACAUCAACCAAAGACAGGUGACCAUAGGUAAGCUGUACCUGACCCAGAAGACUAUCGUUGAGGGGUAGGGGUCAAAGAGGAGCCUCUGAUGGGCAUUGGGGCAGUAAUGGACUGCCUUAAAACGAUUGGAAACGAUGUCUAAGAGACCAUGGCAGACGGAGCACUGAACCUCAACCUAACUUCACCUUCCACACGGAAGCUUAAUUUCCCGCAACCUUUGGAUGGAUAUGGGGGAAAGCAUUGUGGGAGGCAACUAGAUUCAAAGAAUAAUACAGAUCUACGAGGUGGGAAUAGGGAAGAGGUGAGGGGUUGGUUGAUUUCGGACUGGGCAACUGUCCUGCGUCGAUUACAUAACUAUUGUUCUUGGUCACUAUAUACCCUCUCUUCACCAUAGUAUAUUUCGCUAUUCACGUUUCUUUUGUGAGCCGUAACAGUGCAACAGAGAGCGUACAGACAGCCUUGAUUUCUUUGUUAUAUUUUUGCCAGUCUUUUAAUUGUGUAUUGUAUGUAUGAUUUGUCGUCAUGUAAGAUGGUGUAUAAAUGGAUUAAAGAUAUGCAUA